rnacentral:lncRNA from 1 species
AUUCAAACAUUUCUUUGACACUAAGAAAUCUGCUGAAGGCCAUGCACCAACACAAAUUUGGAACGUAAAUCAUGUUUAAGGACUAUAAUGUUAGUUGAUUAAUGUCUAAACUAUGUUUUCCUUAUUUUAGCAAGUGUAAAUAAAUCUGUUAGUGAUCAAGGGCUGAGAUUAGAUAAUAUUGUGCUAGGCUCAGAUGUGAGCAUGUGUCAAGAUCUCAUAGGGUCUUGUAAUGAAUGGUAUGAUGAGCUCAUAGACUCUCGUAGCUCCUCUCUCCCUAGUAGUCAUGAAAAUGUUGAGAAAAGAAUGGAAUAUAUUCAGAAGAGCAAUCUUGGCUUUCUCUGAGAUUUUGAGCACUCUCUCUACCUCUUCACUCUCUCUCUAAAACUUCUUCUUUCUGUGCAAAUUGCUGAAAUACAUCACUGCAUAACCUGAGAUUCUAACAUGGUAUCAAGAGCCUAGGUUUGAUUUUGAACUGGGCAUCGAAUUCUGUGAAAUUGUGUGAGAGAAUCCAAUGUGAAAUUUCUCAAUUUCAUUCUGAUAGGGGCAUAUUUAUGCACCUUAGUUAGCUUGUUCUUGUGCAUUUACAUUGUUUUUCCUUAGUUAAAGUACUGUUUUAAGCUAGUUUUAUGUGUUUUCAGGCUAUAAGGGCAAAGUAUGCAAAAGGAUGCGUUUUGGAGCCUUUUGGAGCAAAUUAGAGCUUGGAAUGGACAUCAUAUGCUUGGAGCCAAGAGGAUGGACGAAAUUGAAGAUUUGAAGAUGAUGUUUCCUACUUGAACAAGGUUUCCUUGUUGAAGUAGGAAAGUCCCUAAUUGAAGAUGGAAUCCUAGUUGAAUUAGGAUUCCUAGUUGAAAUAGGUUUCCUAGUGGAAUUGGGAUUCCUAGAAGAUGAAGAUUCCUACUCAAACAAGGUUUCCUACUUGGAGUAGGAAAGUUAAAUCCAAAUGGCAUCAAGUUUUAGCAACAAAGAAGUUUUCCAAGUCCAAGAAGGAAAAGGAAUCCAAGAUGAUGAAGGAUUGACAAAGACAAACUUUCCUAAUCCUAACGUACAAUGAUUUCAGAUCCAAAGAGGAGUCCUAAACACUUUAGGACACCUUAUCCUUUCACAAUCAGCCUUAUCCCUUAGUGCCACACCUAUUCCCUUCUAGAAAUCGGAUUUCCUUGCCUUGCAAGGCUUUCUAGAAGCCUUAUCCACUCUAUCCCUUACCUGCCGCACCUAGGAGGCCUUUUCCCAUUCAAAAUCUGAUUGUUUUAAGCCAUUUCCUGAUGGGUUUUAAUUAUACAAGUCCAUAUUUGAUUUCCCUAGGGUUUUAAAUGCCUAUAUAUACUCAUAUUAACCCUUUGGCUGAAUUACCACCUCUCAUACACAUCAAUUCACGCCAGAAAUCAUCCCUUGCUCUCUGCCGCAUCCUUCCACCACCAUAUUCCAUAAUUUUUGCCCAAAAUCAUCCCUAGCCGCACCACCCAUCAACCCUAGACACCACCACACAUCCCCCAUCCAUUCUACACCAUUCAUAACCCCACAACCUGUCCACAACCUUUGUGUCGCAGCAAGGAGAAAGGGAGGAACUUCGUGGAUGCACUUGCUGUCCAAGUUGGAGUAUCUAGGUGUUUUCUUUCUUUGGAUUUCAAUGUUUAAACUUAUUUAUCUUUGCUUUGUGCAUAUGAGGAACUAAACCCCCCUUGGCUAGGGGGGAUUCAAAACCAUGUUUAUGCUUGCUAUAUGAUUUGAUUACUUCUAAUUGCGUUUCAUAAGUUGUGAAUUCAAUUUACUUAUCUAUAUGAAUUAAAACUGGUUUGUGUAUGUUGGUUAAGAGGGCCCACUUAGUUUGCAUGCAUGAAUUUGAUGCUAGGAUAUAAGGGAAUUUCAAUUAAUUGUUAUGAACUUAUAUUCACAAGUAGUAAAGGUUGUUGAUCACAAUCGCGUUAAGUAAAUUCUUGGCAUAAGUAUCAUGCGCUUUCAUAGUUACGAGUGCCUCGUCAAUUCUUAUGAUUUUCAUAGAACUUAAUGAUCCUUGCUUGAAUCUCUAUUAUGCGCUUUCAUGUAGGGAACUUGUGCGGAAUGCUUUGGGUUGUCGUAUGCAAUUCAUCCAAUUCAAUAACUUCAGGAAAAUUUGAGGGUUAAUUUAAGCGAACCUAAUUAACUUGGGGCGUUGAGAAUUCAUGGUUUAUUGAGAAGCAAUUGGAAAUCGUUUUGUAUGCAAGUGUGACAUGUGUGGAGAAGAACCCCUUAGCUAGCUUUCCAUCCAUCAAAUUCGUUUUAGAAUCUGUUCAAAUUUACAAAGUUUUGUUUCGUUUUCAAUUUUCGUCAAAAUCAAUCCCCCUUUAUUUUGUUGAGUCAUAUUAGUUAGAAAUUGAUUUAGUUUGUGUUUUUAAGAGUCUUGAGUCAAGUUAAAACCAAUUUUCGUCCAAAUUUGUGUUUAGUGUUCAAAACUGCCCAUAAAGUGUUUUUAAGGCAGUUUUAAGUGUUUGUUUGCUGUUUUGAGUCUUUUGGUUUGUUUUGGUGUUUUAAAGUUUAGUUUUGCAUUCUUUGAGUCUAGUUUAGUGUUUUAAACUUGUUUUUACGUAUUUGAGUCAGUUUUCAAGUGAUUUAGCAAUCCCUCCUAAUCCCCGGCCUAGAACGAUCCCUACUUACAUACUUUGCUACAAUUGAUAAAAAGAGGGUUAAUUUGAGUGCUAGUUAAUAUCAUAUCACAUUCCGAUUCACGUUGAAAUGGCUGGAUCUGGAAGCGGUGAUUUACGAGAUCCUGUUUUUUAUGGAACGGAGUUCGAGUUCUGGAAAGUGAGGAUGGUCACCAUUUUCAAAUUGUAUGGGAUCUGGAAAUUGGUUGACAAAGGGAUUGCUAUUCCAGAAUUGAAGAAGAAAGGAGAAAAGAAAAAAACAAAGAAGGAGAAAGACGAGGAAGAUUCAUCCUCAUCGGAUGAUGAUGAAGGAGACGAUGACGAGUUAGAUGCGCACAUGGAGGAUCAGCUCAUGAAAAAUGCUAAGGCACUGGGCAUUAUUCAGAGUGCUGUCUCGAAAGAGAUCUUCCCUCGGAUUGUGAAUCAAGAGACCUCAAAGGGUGCCUGGGAUCUACUCUAGGAGGAGUUUCGCGGCGAUGAACAGGCAAGAUCUGUUAAACUUCAAAAUUUGCGUCGUGAAUUUGAGUAUAUGAGAAUGAAGGAAAAAUAAUCUCUAUAUGUCUAUCUUACUAGACUAUUUGAAUUAAUUAAUCAAAUGAAAUCUUAUGGUGAGAACCUCACUCAUCAAAGAGAAGUGCAAAAGGUUUUGAUUAGUUUGUCUAGUAAUAUGAUCCAAUCUGUGUUGUGAUUGAAAGAACUUCUGAUUUGAAUACUGUGACUGUGCAAGAAGUGGUAGGAUCCCUUAAAAGUUAUGAGCUUAGGUUGAGUAGACAUGUGGAUGAAAUUACAAGCACGGAGCAUGCUUUCUCCACUAUGGGUCUUGUACCUAAAGCACAGAAUAGGCUAUUCACAUAGGGAAAUCACAGUAAGGGAAAAAAGAAUUGGAAGUCUAUGUCUAGGAAAUGGGAAAACAAUACUCGACAGCCUAAGAGACAGGGUGAGAUCACUGAGGGUGUUAAACAAAAGUGCAAGAUCUGUGAUAAGGCUUACCAUGGUGAGUGUUGGUUCAAAGGAAAACCUAAGUGUCAUAACUGCAACAGGUUUGGACAUGUAGUGAGAGAUUGUCACCAGCCAAAGAAAAACCAUACUGCAAAUUAUUUGAAUCAUGUUCAAGAUAAUGCAAUGAUGUUCUAUGCCUGUUAUAAGGCCUAUGUGCAAGAAAAUAAUGGUGUUUGGUAUCUGGACAGUGGUUGCAGUAACCACAUGACCAGUACUGAAUCAUUGCUUAUCAACAUUGACAGAAGUAUAAGGUGUAAGGUGAAAAUGGGCACAGGGGAUUUGGUUGACUCAGUUGGCAAAGACACACUGAUAGUGGAGACCAAAAGAGGCAGACGGUUCAUACCAGAAGUGAGCAUGGUGUAUGGUCUGCCCUACCUAAAGGAGGCAUAUUUGGAGAUCGUGAACUGCAAGAUCAUGUAGCCACUGUGAAAAUGAAGGGAAAUAGAUGCUUUCCACUAAUGUUUAAAUAUGUGGAUCAUAUUGUAGCAAAUAUUGCUACUACUGAAGGUAACAUAUGGAAAUGGCACAGAAGAUUUGGGCACUUAAACUAUGACAGCCUGAGAAUGCUGCAAGAAAUGAGCAUGGUGUAUGGUCUGCCCUACCUAAAGGAGUACAAUCAGGUGUGUGAAGGGUGUGCUAAUGGAAAGGCUCACAGAGAGGCUUUUAACAAAUAACAGAAAUGGAGAGUAAGGUUGCCCUUAGAACUUGUACACACAGAUGUGUAUGGACCCAUGAGUGAGACUCUUGGAGGUAGCAGGUACUUUCUUACCUUCAUUGAUGACAAGUCCAGAAUGUGUUGGGUCUAUUUCCUGAAGUGCAAAUAUGAGGUAUUCAAAAUUUUUAAAAUGUUCAAGGCCAUGACUGAAUUACAAAUUGGUUACAAACUGAAGAAACUCAGAAGUGACAGAGGAGGGGAGUACACAUCUCUAGAAUUUGAAAAGUUUUGUGAAGAUGUUGGUAUUGAAAAGCAACUCACUGUUGCUUAUUCUCCCCAGUAAAAUGGUAUUGCUGAGAGGAAGAAUCGUACCAUAGUAGAGAUGGCAAGAACCAUGCUCUAUGAGAAAAAAUUACCACUCAAGUUCUGGGGUGAAGCAGUUCACACUGCUGUCUACUUGCUUAAUAGGUGUCCUACCAAAGUACUAGAGAACAAGACUCAUUUUGAAGAAUUCUGUGGUAGAAAACCAAGGGUAAAACACUUGAGAAUCUUUGGUUUUGUUUGAGUAGAAAACCAGGGGUAAAACACUUGAGAAUCUUUGGUUCUGUUUGCUACACUCAUGUGCCAACCCAGUUAAGGCAGAAACUGGAUGAAACUGGACAGAAAUGUGUAUUUGUUGGAUAUGGGACAAGAGAAAAGGGCUACAGGGUGUAUGAUUUGAAACACAACAAGAUGAUUGUCUUAAGGAGUGUUAUUUUUUAUGAAGAUGCUGCUCUUAAUUGGGAGAAUAUGGAAACUAUGCACUUCUCAGUACCUUUCUCAGAAGCUAAUGAGGGUAUAAGCAUAACUGAGAUAGAAAACGGUGUGUGUGAAGAAACUAAUAUUGGUUCUUCUGAUUUAUCUUGCCCAAACACAAGAAAUGAGUAUGUUCCCAGUGUACACAAUGAUGCUCCUAAUGCUGUGAAUAUGGAGAGUGAAAUUCAACUCACAGAAAAUUAUGACAACACACCAAAGAAGUGGAGAAACCUAAAUGAAGUGUUUGCUCAGUGUAGACUCAGUGUCAAACUACAAUGAAGCUUCUCAAGAUAAAGCUUGGAAGAAAGCAAUGAAUGAUGAGAUUACUAUGAUUAAGAAGAAUGAUACUUGGAGAUUGGUUGAUAGGCCAAGUGACAAACCAAUUGUUGGGGUAAAAUGGAUCUUCAAAACCAAGUUGAAUCUGGAUGGCACUAUACAAAAACACAAGGCAAGAUUAGUUGCCAAAGGGUACACUUGAAAGCCCGGGAUUGAUUUUAAUGAGACGUUUGCACCUGUGGCUAGAUUGGACACUAUAAGGACACUCAUUGCUUUGGCAGCACAGAAAGGGUGGAAACUGUUCCAGUUAGAUGUAAAGUCUGCUUUUCUGAAUGGGAUCCUUGAAGAGGAAGUCUAUACAGAUCAACCAGAUGGGUAUAUUGUCAAGGGAGAAGAACACAAAGUGUAUAAGUUAAAAAAAGCCUUGUACGGUCUAAAACAAGCUCCCAGAGCUUGGUACAGCAACAUUGAUACUCAUUUGCUGCAGAGUGGAUUUGAAAAAAGUCCAAGUGAGGCCACUUUAUAUGUGAAACAUAUGGAUGGACAGGGAACUCUGAUUGUCUCUAUAUAUGUGGAUGACAUAGUUUAUACUGGAAGCUAUUUAGAAAUGAUUGAAGAUUUCAAAUGUGAUAUGAUGAACAAGUAUGAGAUGUCAGACAUAGGCUUGUUGCAUCAUUUUCUUGGAAUUGGAGUAAUCCAACAAGAAGGGAGCAUUUUUAUUCACCAGAAGAAGUAUGCACUGAGUUUACUGGACAAGUUUGGUUUGAAGAGCUGCAAAUCUGUCUCAAUUCCCUUACCUCCCACGGAUAAGAUAAGGAAAUGUGAUGGGAGUGAAGCUGCAGAUGAGGAAUUGUAUAGGAAAAUUGUUGGCAACCUUCUGUACUUAACUGCAACAAGGCCUGAUAUCUUGUACUCAGCAUGUGUACUUGCCAGGUACAUGCACUGUCCUUCCAUCAAACAUCUUGGCACUGCAAAGAGGAUCCUCAUAUAUGUGCAAGGUAUGAAAAAGGAAAUGCAGCUCUACUCAUAGGAUUAUAUGACAAUGAUUGGAAUGGAGAUGAAGAUGACAUGAAGUCCACAUCAAGGUAUGCUUUUAGCUUUGGCAGUGGUGCAUUCUCUUGGGCUUCUGUAAAGCAACAGAGUGUUGCACUCUCAACUGCUGAAGUCGAGUAUAUGAGUGCCUUAGAAGCUACCACUUAAGCUACAUGGCUGAGAUUUGUGCUGCAUGAUUUUGGUGAAGAAUUGAUCGAACCAACUCCUUUGAUGUGUGAUAACACAUCAGCAAUUGCAAUGUCAAAGAAUCCGGUAUUCCAUCAGAAGUCUAAACAUAUCAAGAGGAAGUUUCAUUUCAUCAGAGACGCAAUUCAGGAAGGAACAAUUGAUCUACAAUAUUGCAAAAGUGAGGAGCAACUAGCAGACAUCUUCACCAAAGUGCUUGCUAAAGACAGAUUUUGUGCUUUAAGGGACAAGCUUAGGGUAAUAUCAGUUAAGACCUUAGAAGGGAGUGUUAGCUGAUUAAGGUCCAAACUAUGUUUUCUUUAUUUUAGCAAGUGUAAAUAAAUCUGUUAGUGAUCAAGGGCUGAGAUUAGAUAAUAUUGUGCUACGCUCAGAUGUGAGCAUGUGUCAAGAUCUCAUAGGGUCUUGUAAUGAAUGGUAUGAUGAGCUCAUAGGCUCUCGUAGCUCCUCUCUCCCUAGUAGUCAUGAAAAUGUUAAGAAAAGAAUGGAAUAUAUUCAGAAGAGCAAUCUUGGCUCUCUCUGAGAUUUUGAGCACUCUCUCUACCUCUUCACUCUCUCUUUAAAACUUCUUCUUUCUGUGUAAAUUGCUGAAAAACAUCACUGCAUAACUGAGAUUCUAACAUAUAAGCACGUGAUACAUUGAUAUAUUUGGAAGAUCUUCUAAUUGACAAUCAUAUUGUCUUAGAAGUAUAUAUCCUAUAUGGGUAAUUGAUAACAUCCAACGAACUACAUCUUAUUUGAGUUCGUUUUUCUCCCAAUGGAGAAAUCCAUUAUCUUAUGAUGCUACUUUCCUUAAUAUCUUUCAAGGAAACUCAUCCAAAGUGUUACUUUUCCUUGGAUCAAAUCUAAGGAGAAAAUACUUUAGACGUCUUACUCAUCAACUUACAUUCUUGAAUUCUUUGAAACCUUUUGCAAAGUAUUCGGACUUGUAUUUAUUCAAAAUAAACGAUAGUUGAACCGAGAGCGAUCUUCGGUGUAUGUCAUACAACAUGAGUAGUAUUAUGUUGUGGACAAGUGCCACUAACAUCUAAGUGAAUUAACCUCAACAACUUUGUGAUUCUUUAUUCUUUCCAAAAGAAUAAAGAUUUGAACAUUUUGCCUCUAUACAGUUUUAACAAGAAGGCAUUGGAUCCGGAUCUAACAAACCAAAGCAUCGAUUUAUGGCCAACUUGUAAUUUAUGUUUUAAAGGUGUCACAACUCAGUGGGAUUAGUCACUAUCUUGCAAACUUUUGGGUUUUAAGCAUCGUUAUGUUCUAAACAGUUAGCACUACCACAUCAUCUCUACUAUAGAGACAAUCAAUUAGAUUACAAUAAUCCAAUCAUUCAUUAAUAAAGAAUAAUGUUUUGUCAAACAAAACAUUCAUCCAUCUCUUAUAGUGACGGAAUUAAGUUCCUUAUUCAAAUUGGAAUGUAAAUACAAUCUUUGGUUUUCCAAUUUCUUUGGUAAUUCAUAUGAGGAAGUAAGUAUUAUCUGCUUUCGCAGAGAUCUAUAUUUUAUUCAUGUUCCGAAUGUGAAGUACUUUCUUUUCUCUCAUUAAUCUUCUACCUCUUAUUUGCCACAUUUUUACAACUAUUGUAAAACAUAGUUACUAAUACAAAAGCAAGCAUUCAAGUAGAAGAACCAACUGUUUUGAACUUAUUCAAGAACAAUUUACAACACCUUCGAAAGAUGUGUUCUUGACACUGUUGAUUAUUUUAAAUAUUUUAAUAAUAUUUUAUUUUAAAGAUUUAGAACUUAUUAUUAUUUUAUUUUAUUUAUUUUUAAUAUCUAAGAGUUGUGUUUUAUUUGAAGAGUCAUAAUCCUUUUCUAAAAGGGUAUGAGAAGUUCUUUGAAUAAGAAACCUUAGACAGAAAACAAAAUACGCUAAACUUUUCUGUCUCCCUCAAUUCUCACAUAUCUCUCAGUCAAUUUACAUUCUUACUUCAUAAUUCUUGGGCAAUUGAUCACUACUUGGCAAUCUCGUCUGCCGUUGAUGUGCAUAUCGGAUCAGACAUCUUGUGAGACUUUGGGUUGUAUCUUGGAGUUGUAGGCACCGCCAUAACCUGCACGUAGGGAGGCGUCUACGGCUUUAGGACAGCGACAUCGCGCCUCUCUUUGGUUCACAGGCCAGAUAUUCUUAUUCUCUUUUUCCUAAUUUUAUUUUCAUAAGUCUGAUGUGAUUAUACAUUUGAUUUGAUAUAUUUGAUCAUAUAUAUAAUUGGUAUAUUUUUGCAAUAUAUUUCAUAAUCUAAAGUCGUACAAGGUGUGAUAAUAUAAUUGCAAAUUUUACAAUCUGUUUUUAUAGUACCUUGAAAGCCCUAAGAAUUGUAGUUUUUUCCUACGUUGAAAGUGGAAUUUUAGGGUUUUGUCGUUCAUUGCAUUUUUUUUUAAUUCGGAUCAUGUCGUUGCUUUUCUGACUCUCUGUCGUUGCUUUACUGACUCUCUGCACAUAGGAAGGGUAACCUUGCCCUUCAUUCAUUGAGUCCUGUCAUUGAAUUGUCUGAGAAGGCAAAUCUUGCCUUUAAUUCAUUGCUUUUUUGACUCAUUGCAUUUUCUUUAUUUUAUUUAGUACCAAAACAUUUUAAUAUUGCAUAUCUGUCAACUAUUGUUUGGGGUUGAUAAUCUUGGUAAACUAUAAUUAAUAAUUAAAUAUUACUUGUAAACUGCAUACUGUUACUUGUAAAAUGCAAUUAUUUAAUAUUGCUUGUCUGUCAAGUGAUUUGACUACAAUUGCAUCAGUGCGUGAGUAUUACAGUUUGUGUGUGAUUAUUCAGUACCAAGCACUUGCAUCUUUUAUACUUUAAUUAAAUCUUGUGCUUUAAUCACAACGUGAUUUGAACAACAAUUGCAUACUAAUAUAUAUAAUAUUAAACUGUGCGUAAUUAUCAUUAUUCUUUAAUUAAAUCUUGUGCUUUAAUCCCAAAGUGAUUUGACCAACAAAUUGCAUACUGAUAUGUAUUAAUUGUUUCAUGCUUUAAUUAAAUAUUGUGCAUAAUUAUCUUUAUUAAUUGAUCUGUGGUUAUUAUAUAGUAGUAUAGUUUAUCCUAUACUUGUUAAAAAUUUUGAGUGACAAACGUGUUUUAAUCUCUACAGUAUUAUAGAAAUCUUAUGUCUCUCUCACUUGUUAUUAGUCAGUAUUUACAUAACAAAUGGCAAGCCUAGAAGAAGCCAAUAGUGUUAAGCCUGGAAACUUUAGUGGCCAUAAUUUUCAUAGGUGGCAAAAACAAGUAAAAUAUUGGUUAACUAUCUUAGGACUUGCAUCUGCACUUGAAGAAACUCAAUCAAACAAGAUUCCUCUUCUAAAGAGUCAUCUUCUAAACCAACCCUUGACCUAAUAGAAUACCAUUGUCACAACAGAAUCUUAAGUGCCCUUUCUGAUCACCUCUAUGAUGUGUAUCAUGCUACUACAUCCACCGCCAAAGAACUUUGGGAAACUUUAGAAGCGGAAUAUGGAAUUGUAGUUGUUAGGAUGGAUAGGUUCAUGGUCUCAAACUUUAAUGAUUAUAAGAUUGUUAAUAAUAAGUCUAUGGGGGAACAAAUACAUGAGUAUCAAGGGCUAUUAAGAGGCGUUGAAAAGAAAGGAACGAAGUUCAGUGAGGACUUUAAAGUCUCCUGCCUUAUUAAUAAACUAACUCAAUCUUGGAAUGACUUUGCUAGAACCUUAAGGCAUAAACAAGGAGAACUUACUUUGGUUCAAGUCAUAAAUUCAAUUAGGAUCGAAGAGAAACAUAGGUUAAGCCAAAAGAAGGAAACCGAAAGGCAAACAACUGUGAAAAUAGGAUUCCUUUGUCAAACACAUUUUAAGUAUGAUUCCUUUGUCAAUUUUACUUAUGAAAAUAGGAUUGGUGGGUAGAUUCUGGAGCUAAUGUACAUGUCUGUUUUGAUCGUGAAUUUUUUAAAACCUAUCAGAAAUCAAGUGGAGGAUGCGUAACUCUAGGAAAUGACUCAAUGUCGCAAGUGCUUGGAAUUGGAGACAUAGAACUAAAGAUGACAUCUGGAAAUGUCUUAAUUUUGAAGGACGUGCGACAUGUACCUGAUAUAAUAAGAAAUUUAAUUAGCGGAUCAUGUUUAGCAAAUCAAGGCAACAAAGUUGUAAUGGAAUCAAAUAAGGUUGUAAUAACUAAGAAUAAUGUAUUUAUUGGAAAAGGUUUUAUCAGUGAAGGAUUAUUUAAGUUAAGUGUUUCUUCAGAGUGCAAUACUCUUCCAAAAGUUCUUAAUGUUGAGUCUAGUAAUGCUUGGCAUGGACAUUUGGGGCAUGUAAACUUGUUCAAAAUUAAGAAAAUGAUGGAUUUGGAUCUAGUCCCAAAGUCAAACAUGAAUCUCAAGCAUAAGUGUGAAAUUUGUGUACAAGCAAAGCAACCCAAGAAACUUUUUAAGUCUGUCGAAAGAAAUACCCAAAUUUUAGAGCUUAUACAUAGUUAUGUUUGUGACUCAAAUAGAUUACCUACUAGAGCUGGUAAUAAGUAUUUUGGCACAUUUAUAGAUGAUUGUUCAAAGUAUUGUUAUAUUUAUUUGAUAAAGACCAAGGAUGAAGUAUUUGGUAAAUUCAAGAUUUAUAAGAUAGAAGUGGAAAAUCAAUUAGAGAAAAGGAUAAAGAGACUUUGGUCAGAUAGAGGUGGUGAGUACACUCUUACCAAUCUUAGUGUUUUUUGUGAAGAGCAUGGUAUUAUACAUGAAGUAACAGCACCCUAUUCUCCACAAUCAAAUAGAGUUGCAGAAAGGAAGAAUAAAACCUUAUUGGACAUGGUCAAUGCAAUGCUUUUGAGUUCUGGAUUACCGGAAAAUUUGUGGGCGGAAGCAAUUUUGACUGCAUGUUUUAUAUUAAAUAGAGUAAUCAUUAAAAAGAACACUACUACUCCAUAUGAAAUUUGGAAAAAGAGAACACCAAAUCUCCAAGUCUUGAAAGUGUGGGGGUGUUUGGCUAAAGUUGCAAUCCCAUAACCUAAGAGAAAUAAGAUAGGACCUAAAACUGUGGAUAUUGUUUUCUUAGGUUAUGCUCAUAAUAGUAGUGCCAAUAGAUUUCAAGUCAUCAACUUUGAAAUAAAUGAAAUUUUGAAUAACACUAUAUUCGAGUCUAGGGAUGCAACAUAUUUUGAAGACAUAUUUCCUUUCAAGACUAGAAUACAAAAGCAAGUGGUGGAUAGAUCAUGCACUAGUACUGACAAAGCCUCCACAAGUAUUAGCCAUCAAGUUACAAAUGAAGAAGAACCUUUAGUUGAACUUAGAAGGAGUAAGAGACCUAGAGUGGAGAAGAACUUUGGUGAUGAUUUUGAUACAUUUCUAAUUGAAGGUGAUCCAACAACAUAUAAGGAUGCCAUGAUCUCCGUCGAUGCUCCAUUUUGGAAAGAAGCUAUAAAUAGUGAAGUUAAGUCUAUUUUACAAAACAAUGCUUGAGAGUUAAUGGAUUUACCACCCGGUACUACACCAAUUGGUGUAAGUGGGUAUUUAGGAAGAAACUGAAGCUUGAUGGAAGUAUAGACAAGUACAAAGCUAGGCUAGUAGCUAAGGGAUUCACUCAAAGGAAAGGAAUUGAUUAUUUUGACACCUACUCUCCUGUGUCUAGGAUUACCACAAUUAGGAUCCUCAUAGCAUUAGUUCUAUACACAAUUUAGUAGUUCAUCAAAUGGAUGUUAAAACAACAUUUUUGAAUGGAGACUUAGAUGAAGAAAUUUACAUGGAGCAGCCUGAAGGAUUCAUAGUGAAAGGCCAAGAACAUAAAGUGUGUAAGUUGGUUAAAUUGUUAUAUAAACUUAAGCAAGCUCUUAAGCAAUGGCAUGAGACGUUUGAUAAAGUCAUUUUAGAAUAUGAUUUUGAAAUUAUUGAGCAUGAAAAGUGUGUCUACUAUAAGGAAUGCAAUGGAUAGUGUGUUAUUUUAUGUGUUUACGUUGAUGAUAUAUUAUUAUUUGGAACAAGUCUGGAAAUAGUGAAAGAUAUUAAGUCUUAUCUAUCAAAGAGAUUUGAUAUGAAAGAUCUAGCAGAAGCCAACAUUAUUUUAGGAAUGAAAGUAGAAAGAACACAAGCAGGUUUUAUUAUAAACAAGCUAGUUCAAUUGAGAAAAUGCUUAAGAAGUUCAAUUUUUUCAAUUGCAAUCCUGUAUCGACACUAUAUGAACCGAGUGUGUGCUUACUUAAAAAUAGUGGUGAACCCGUGUGUCAACUCGAGUAUUCUCAAAUGAUUGGGUCUUUGAUGUAUAUAGCAAAUAAAACUAAACCCGAUAUAGCUUAUGUGGUUGGAAGGCUAAGUAGAUACACUCAUAAUCCAAGUAAAGAACACUGGAAUGCUUUAAGGCGAGUGUUUAAGUAUCUAAGAGGAACUAUGGAUUAUUCUAUACACUAUAAAGGAUUUCCUUAAUCAGUAGAAGGGUAUAAUGAUGCCAAUUGGAUCACUGAUAACUCCGAAGUGAAAUCUACUUUAGGUUAUGUAUUUUUAUUGGGAGGAGCAGCUAUAUCUUGGGAAUCUAAGAAACAAACAAUAAUUUCUAGAAGUACAAUGGAAUAUGAACUCAUAGCUCUUGAAACUGCAUGUAUAGAGGCUGAAUGGAUUAAGAAUUUUUUGCUUGAUAUUCCAUUGGUGAGCAAGCCUAUACAUGCCAUCUCUAUACAUUGUGAUAAUAAGGCUGUGAUAGAUUUAGUGAGGCAGACACAUACAAAUAAGAAAUUAAAUAGACAUAUUAAUGUUAGAUACAAAUUUGUGAGACGCUUGUUAAAUAAAGAAGUUGUUUCUUUGGACUAUGUGAAGUCGGAAAAGAACACUGCUGAUCAAUUGACCAAAGGUUUAUCUAGGAAUGGAGUCCUAGAUUUGUCGAGGGCGAUGAGCUUAACCCAUAAGGAAGUCACCCAUGGAAGAAACCCAACCUUGGUGAUUAGAGAUCCCAUGAAGAAGGUUCAAUGGGUAGAAACAAUCCAUAUUGCGUGACUUAUAUUCUAGCACUCUAAAAUAGGAGAUUUGAAAUAAAAUCGCCUGUUCAUCCCUAUAACAUUUGUGUUGAUGAUAUGUGAUGUUAAGGAAAGACAUUGACUUGAAUGAGUUCCACAGCGGGCAAUCUCCAGCAGAGUACAGGUCACAUGUACUCUUGGAGGACUCACCUAAGUGAGAGUAGUCGUGAGGCCACGACUGUGAGAAUUGGGUUGUUCUCUAAAAACACUCAUGAGAAUCAAGAUUAAGCGCAUGGCCAUAAAUAGUGCCAACCUGCGUCAAGUUUUUGAUCAAUACUAUGUGUGUCAUAUGUGGUAAUCUGAAUUAGAGGAAUCUAGUUCAAGACUUAGUUCACUAUGAUUCCUUCAGAUGAAAACUAUGAAUACUAAGUGUAGGUUCAAGUCCAUAAUGAAGGGAAAAAUUAUGAGUUUAACACAUGGGAUUUCUAAAUGACUAGCAUGCAUAUACAAUUCAAAAAUUUAUAUACAUGAGCAACGGAAGCAAUUUAUCAAAUAAUAUCAAAGC